UCUCUGGUGGUCCAGUGGCUAAGACUCCACACUCCCAAUGCAGGGGGCCCAGGUUCAAUCCCGGGUCAAGGAA
rnacentral:tRNA from 1 species